UACGAAGGGGGCUAGCGUUGUUCGGAAUUACUGGGCGUAAAGCGUGCGCAGGCGGCUUCUCAAGUCAGGGGUGAAAGCCCAGAGCUCAACUCUGGAAUUGCCUUUGAGACUGAGUGGCUUGAGUACGAGAGAGGUGAGUGGAAUUCCCAGUGUAGAGGUGAAAUUCGUAGAUAUUCGGAAGAACACCAGUGGCGAAGGCGACUCACUGGACACGUAUUGACGCUGAGGUGCGAAAGCGUGGGGAGCAAACAGG
rnacentral:rRNA from 1 species